UAAGACGCAUGCAGGUGGUUUGUUAAGUCAGAUGUGAAAGCCCGGGGCUCAACCUCGGAAUUGCAUUUGAAACUGGCAAACUAGAGUACUGUAGAGGGGGUAGAAUUUCAGGUGUAGCGGUGAAAUGCGUAGAGAUCUGAAGGAAUACCGGUGGCGAAGGCGGCCCCCUGGACAGAUACUGACACUCAGAUGCGAAAGCGUGGGGAGCAAACAGGAUUAGAUACCCUGGUAG
rnacentral:rRNA from 1 species